UAUAUAUAUAUACGUAAAUGACUCAGGGAAAAAUAAAAGUCAACCCUCAGACUUUGAGGUGGGCCUCAACAAGACCAUCAAACAGAGGGACGCCGUGCAGAAGAACAGAAAACACAUUUCGGGAACAGUGACGCUUUGAAAUGGAGACGCAGAAACGGCCGACUGAAGGUCACGGUGUCACUGAUGAACACACGCACAUGCAGAAAGCAUUGGAUCCAUUCAGGCCGUCACAUGGACAACGGUUCCUGUGACGUCACACUUCAUUUUCUGUGAUUUUCCACUCUUUCGUGUUACAUAACUCCAUCUUUUCAAAAUGAUAGGUAGUUAAAAUAACCACAGAAGUGAUGUCACAGAAGUACACGCGCGACGAUGCAUCUCUUCGUCACAUUCUAAAUGAGGCAGAAGCUGCCGUGUUGGUGUGUGAAUGUGCGUGCGUUUGCGUGCGUGAGGCCGUAAACAACAGCAGACCUUUCUGGAGCAUCUUAUUAGUCAGUGAAAACAGAUGAAAGCAACUAAAUGCAAACAACCUCCUUUUAUUGGAUGUCGCAGCCAGCAGGAAUUACGUACAAAUGACUGGAUUUGAUUUUAUUAAAUGCUCACCGAGGCAAAGGAGAUAAUUACUGAAAUCAACAACACGGGGAAGCUGCUUUCUAUGUUGUUGUUGUGGCCUGAUUAAAUCCAAUAAAAAGCGUUAAAUGAAGCAUAUCAAAUAAGAAUUCAUGAAUAAUGGUUCAAGACUUAGACGUACAAGAACACAGGGAUGAGAUGCCGGGACUUUAGACUCAACUGUCUCACUUUGACACUUGUGGUGUUAAAUAAAAGUCAAUUAAAAAAGCACUAUACUGCUAAUAUACACAGUAGAACAUUAAACUGUACUUACAUGCACUCUGAUGUAUUAACAUUAUAAUAUUCUCUUAAAACACUGUGAAAGGUGCCAUUAGGCAUUAUGAGUAUUUGAACCUUGAUGAUUGAAGUAAAUUCUGCAACGGAGAAACAUUCGUUGUGUUGUUUUUGUUGCUUUUUUCAAAAUAAAUAGGAGCAUUGGAAUGUGUUGAGCAUUUGGUUUGACGUAGAAAUACACGAAAACAAACUACUUCUCGCUGUAGUGUUGUGAUGGAUGGAUGAGAGAAUACUAGUCCCCAUUUGUGCUGCAAGACACGCAUGGAUUCACACAAAGGGGAUUUCGUGUGUGCCACGAACUCUCGGACACAAGACCGAUGGAUGGAGAUAAUGUGCGGGGCCCUCGGGCCCUCGGGCCCCGGCGCUGCCGUCCCCUUUGAUAAACGCUAUUUAAUUACCCGGCGAUUAACUAGUCCAUUAGAAGAGGACUGGAGACGAUGGCGGGGGACACUUACUGCGUUUCCUCCCAUGUAGGAAAUGAGGGAGGGGAGGGGCUAAGGGGCUGCGAGUGUGUGUGUGUGUGUGUGUGUGUGUGUGUGAUUGUGCGUCGGUGGUAUUUAUUACGUAGGCACAACGAUGGGCCAGAAGGCAAACAGCCUGCAUGUGUGUGUCUGUGCCUGAGGCUAACAGCUCUGAUUGUGUCUCUCAGAGUGUAAUAAUCUGUCUUUCUCAAUGGCUAUGGGGGUGUGACGGUGUGUGUGUCUGUGUGCGACUGUGUGUGUCUCCGAGCAGAGAGCGUGAAGAAGAAGAACAGGGACACUUUCAUUACUAAAAGCCAAGUCCUCUCUUCUUUAUUCCAACUCAUUAAGUAUAAAUUGUGUUAAUAUUGCCAUUUGUCUUUAUUAAUAUUGUGUCCUGAGUCAUCGCAAAGCACUUUACCGCCCGAUAGAGAAAUGAGCCACUCUCACUGUGCUUCACGUCUACUCGAUGUAGGUAAGGUAGCACCGUGUUUGACAUUAAUUGUAAAGAGGACAAUAGUGGUGCCAUUUAAGAGAAAAGGAUCCACGGCAACCUAAUUGCUCAUCAACGGUUCAUUAUUGGGUGUCGUGGAGGAUGAAGUAGCGCGAGCUAACAGUACACCCACCUCGUCUGGUCCUCGCUAAAAGCUUUCUGCCGCCGGUGACAUCGUGACUUCAUUGUCUGUUUGUAUUCCAGCAGGGUGAUUACGUCAUGUUCUGCUUCCUGCGAGCCACGGCCGUCUCCCUGGAAGCCCCCCAAAACCCACCGAACCCGGACUGAAGCCAACGCGGACUUGUCUUAAAGGUUGUAUUCCGUCUUAUGACCAGCAGGGGGCGACUCCUCUGGUCCAUAGAAGUCUAUGACAAAAUGACUGCUUCUCUCUUGAUUUAUUCCCUCUGUAAACAUUGUAAACAUGAGUUCAUGGUCUCUAGUUUCGCGUCUUCUUCAAUACAGCGUGAUGUUCAUUGAGUAAAUUAGGCUCCAUUUAGAGUCAAACAGGCCACAGCGGACGCUUUACGGCUACACGCUGAUUGACAGGCUGCUAGUUACAAAUAAUAGUGAACUCGAGGCCUCUGGUCCACUAACCAGUGGAUGAGGUCACAAUGGCCGAGUCACCUUCUUACGUACGGUCAUCGGAUGGUUUCAGAUUAUUUAUCAGGCCAAAUUCCACCAAGAGGAUUCAUCACCUCUUUGCGCCCCGAGACCUCGCUGCUCUGCUAUUUGCUCCGUCCAGGGCCGGGUGCUUUGAUUUGGACAGAUAACGUGUAAUUACAUGAUGGCAUUCUCCUUCCUGCUCGGACACGAGGUUUGUUCUAGGGUAACAAUCGCCUCGUCUCCAAUCAUAUCGACUCUCCUUGACUCCAUAUUGCUCCUUAUUUUGCCCAAUUCUUCUUUGCCUCCCUUUUGAGUGCUUUUCCUUAAGGACUUCAAUUCCUCGCCGUCCUUCCCCUCUGCCCCCCCCCCAGAGACCUUGGACACCGAUGCCGGCUGUAUUUAAAAAGGAAGCCGAGGAUUUUGUCCAAAGCUUCAAUCUUGGUCCUAUACAGAGCGGCACCACAUGAACACACACCAGGCGGCCAAACCCGGCUUUAUAUUGGCUUAAAAUGUCCGGAGGAGGCCGGGGGGAGGAGAGUGAAAUAACAAGAGAACUGACAUCACUCUUUGUCCUUUGUUAAACUUAUUCAGAGAUGAAUUGCUCUGAAAGGAUUGACCCAUUUAUGACCGUAAGCGGUGUGUUUUUUUGAUAAGUACAUCAGCGUGUCCAUAAAGAGCCAUUAAACUGAGAGGCACAGAAAAGAGGAUCAUGUGGAGAAAGGACGGAGGGGGAAGACAACAAAAGGGUUAACAGAAGGGAAGAAAAACCCAUUUCCUCCAACUCCGUCUGACCCGGCUGAGCCUCAAACCACACAGCCACGUGGACGCCGCUGUGUGUGUGUGUGUGUGUGUGUGGGCCAUUUCUACAUUUACCAUGUGUCUAAAUGCACUGGUGUGAGUUUAAUGAGUGUCUUUGUGCGGCUGUGUUUUCAAUGUGUGUGUGUAACUGGAUGCGAUUAGAUUUUAGAUGAUCACGUCACAGGCAACAGAGUCUUCGCCUCUUCCACAGCCAGAGAUGUGGUGCUUCUCUCUGUGUGGGACUACGGCGUCUAAUCCCUCAACAAGU
ensembl:lncRNA